rnacentral:rRNA from 1 species
UACGUAGGGGGCUAGCGUUGUCCGGAAUCAUUGGGCGUAAAGAGCUCGUAGGCGGCUUGUCGCGUCGUUCGUGAAAACCCGGGGCUCAACUCCGGGCUUGCGGGCGAUACGGGCAGGCUAGAGUUCGGUAGGGGAGACUGGAAUUCCUGGUGUAGCGGUGAAAUGCGCAGAUAUCAGGAGGAACACCGGUGGCGAAGGCGGGUCUCUGGGCCGAUACUGACGCUGAGGAGCGAAAGCGUGGGGAGCGAACAGG